rnacentral:lncRNA from 1 species
GAAUAUCGACCGACGACGAGACGUCGACAUCGUUCGACAUAGGCAACCACACGACGAUCGAUGUAACACUUACCCAUCGAUCGAUAUCUAAUCCGGUCAGAUGUAUCUUCCCAACUUUUUACAUUUCGUACAUCAUGAACUAUUCAUCAUAACUCCGGCUGAGUUACACUGGGACAGUGUAAUUUAAGUCUGGGGGAGAUUUACUGAUAUAAUUUAUUUUAUUCUUAUGUAAAAAGGAAUUUCAAAUAAAUUAUGCUUAGCUAUUGAAAAUAGGGACUAUAAUCUUAUACUGAUUUAAACAUGAAUAUCUAACCAAUCUUUAGCACCAUUUUAGAUUUACUGAUUGCAGAUAGCACUAAAGAUGCUAAAGCAGAUCAACCUAUCAACUACACACUUGCCUUGAACCGUAUGAAGUAACCAGAGCUGAUUUCCAACAGUAAACCUGACAUAACCGCUUGUCUUGGGGCUUGGUAUACAUGGGAUCGGAUUCUUCAGACAGGUCUGGAAGGUAACGCCUGGUUUAGAUUAUUUAUCACAUUUUUUCUCUCUAGAUUUUGACCCUAGAUUAGUUAGUGAGUAUAUAAAAAAAAUAAUAAUAAAUAAAUAAAUAAAAAUAAAAAAUAAAUAAGAUCUAUUGUUUAAUUAGGAUGAGUCUGAACAGGACUUGGUGGCUAAAACCAUUAAGGCUUGAUUCAUAAGGACACAAAUAAAAGAGUUUGAAACGGGACUUGGAGGCGGCAAUCUUCAAGGCUCGCUUUCGCAAAGAACUCUUGGAUAUAGGUCUGGCUAGAACCCGUCGAUCGAUGUCCUUAACUGACAAUCGAUCGAUGUUGGCAAAGGUGUAUCGGUCGACGUCUUAAUAGACUAUCGAUCGACACUCUCUUUUGUCUGCAUCUAACCGGUGAGACACAAGAUCUAGUCUGUUAACCAGUGGUACAUGCAUUUAAUUGUUUCCUAGCUCCUUGUGGAUUCGAUCCCUAAGUACUACAUCUAAACCUCUUUUGAUGAGAGUAACACUUCUUAGGGUAAUUUGAGUGGUAUCAACAGACAUAGCCAUCUCACAAAGAUGACUCUCGUACAUCCGACACAAAGAUAAUAGCGCUAUAAAAGAAACCCAAAAUUUUGGUCUAGCACUCCCAGUUGGCUUAAAAAUUAUCUCUGGAGAGAUGCUCGACUCGUAUCAAACAAGUCGUGUAAGCCGA